GCGAGUCGAGCGUCUCUAGCUAUGUUGAGACGCGGCAGACGGCUCAGUAACACGUGGCUAACCUACCCUCAGGACGAGGAUAAACCCGGGAAACUGGGGCUAAUACUCGAUAGGCGAGAAUGUCUGGAAUGACUUCUCACCCAAAGGGCCUUGGAAACAUGCUUUCAAUGUCGCCUGGGGAUGGGGCCGCGUCCGAUCAGGUUGUUGGUGAGGUAACGGCUCACCAAGCCUAUAACCGGUACGGGCCGUGAGAGCGGUAGCCCGGAGAUGGGUACUGAGACAAGGACCCAGGCCCUACGGGGCGCAGCAGUCGCGAAAACUCCGCAAUGCACGAAAGUGUGACGGGGCUACCCCGAGUGCCAUCCGCUGAGGAUGGCUUUUCUUUGGUAUAACUAGCCAUUGGAAUAAGGAGAGGGCAAGACUGGUGUCAGCCGCCGCGGUAAUACCAGCUCUCCGAGUGGUAGGGAUGAUUAUUGGGCUUAAAGCGUCCGUAGCCGGCUUAGCAAGUCUCCUGUUAAAUUCAGCGACCUAAUCGUUGACCCGCGGGAGAUACUACUAGGCUAGGAGGCGGGAGAGGUCGACGGUACUUCUGGGGUAGGGGUGAAAUCCUAUAAUCCCAGGAGGACCACCAGUGGCGAAGGCUGUUGACUAGAACGCGCUCGACGGUGAGGGACGAAAGCUGGGGGAGCGAACCGGAUUAGAUACCCGGGUAGUCCCAGCCGUAAACGAUGCGAGCU
rnacentral:rRNA from 1 species